CCACUAAUUGUAAUAAUAAUAAUAAUUAAAUUAGCAGUGGUUGUUGAUGUUGAAUUUUGAUCGUUCUUCGGUUAUUACCCGCACAAUGCAGAGAAGCGGCUUCGAUUCGUUGUUGUUGUUCGUUUAUUGUGUGAUUAGCUAGAUGGUAUUUGCUUAUACCAGGUCUACAGAGCAAAUGGAGUCUCGCAAAAAGCCGCGGCAAUCGGAGAGCGAUUGCGCUGAAAACUGUUGUUUGGCUUGGUGGUACCUACAGCUUCCAUGGGCUCGCGUGGUCAUGCGCAAAUGGCUCAACAUCAGCGCCAAAGAUUCUGAUUACAGCGCCGACCCUGACGAUCCAUAUUCUGACUCUGAAGAUGACCAAGUGACUGAUGAAUGGGAGCAGAAUUUGCGGACUGCUCGGAGUGAUUUUAAUGAUGGUCUUGCAAAGUUAAGAAGACGGACUUCCGAAACUUUUAGGGCACAGUAUAUCAAUACAAAGGAACUCAGAAUUCGUGUUGGCACAUGGAAUGUCGGAGGACAAGUUCCACCUGACGACCUAGACAUUGAUGAUUGGAUCAACAUCAACGAACCCGCUGACAUUUAUGUGCUUGGAAUACAGGAAAUUGUACCCCUAAAUGCUGGGAAUAUAUUUGGUCCAGAAGAUAACCGUCCAGUUGCAAAAUGGGAAAACAUCAUUCGUGAAACAUUAAAUCGGAUUCGACCUUCAACAAUGAAGAUCAAAAGUUUUAGUGAUCCUCCAUCCCCAUCAAAGUUCAAGCCAUCUGAAGAUAUCCCUGAUAUAGAAGAACAAUUAUUUCUUGAGAGUGAUAGUGAUAUUGGUGAGGAAAUUUAUCCGUUAGAUGAUAACUCCAACAGUUAUAGUGAAGUCAAGGCUGGUCCAAUCAAUGAAGAAAACAACUUCAAGAGUUCUGAACUAGACUGCAUUGAGAGUGAGAAGUUAGAUAUGCCAGUAGAACAGGAUUUGCAGAGGAAAUUUUCUUCUCCAAAGAAACUAGAUAGAUUGAAUUGCCUCCGAACAGAAGAUUGUACAGAUAACGUAGAAGAGCCAGCUGCCCAAAAAUUUGGAAAAUUAACUAAACUGUUAAGCAACUCUGAAAAGAUUGGUUUGAGCUGGCCGGAGCCUCCCCGAGACUUGUUAUCUCAGCAUGUUUUGGAGAGGACAAGUACCUUCAAUUCUGUUAAAUCUUUCAAUGCAUCCAACACUUUCAAAAAAUAUAGAUCUUUUAAAUCAUUCACCAAUGAGGUGUCUCCUGGAAUAGCUUUACUCGCAGAACUUGACCUUGAAGCUCUCAUGAAUCGGAAAAGAAGGUCUUCAUAUGUAAGGAUAGUUAGUAAGCAGAUGGUUGGGAUUUUUCUCACUGUAUGGGUUCGGAGGAGCUUACGCAGGCAUAUUCAGAACCUAAGAGUGUCUACUGUUGGUGUUGGUGUUAUGGGUUACAUUGGGAACAAGGGAUCAGUGUCUGUCAGCAUGUCCAUAUAUCAGACACUAUUUUGCUUUGUAACUACUCACCUGACAUCAGGUGAAAAAGAUGGAGAUGAACUGAAAAGAAACGCUGAUGUGCAUGAAAUACAUAGAAGAACCCAAUUCCGUCCAGUCUCCAACAUUGGCCUGCCCAAAAGUAUUCAUGAUCACGAAAGGAUAAUCUGGUUGGGUGAUCUGAACUAUCGUAUUAACUUGUCAUAUGUGAGAGCACUUGAACUUAUCUCCGAAAAGGAGUGGUCCAAGUUGGUGGAGAGCGACCAGCUUGUACGAGAGCUGAGAAAAGGUCAUGCAUUUGAUGGAUGGUCUGAGGGUGCUUUAACUUUUCCACCAACAUAUAAGUAUGAGCUAAAUUCUGAGAAGUAUUAUGGGGAGGAUCCAAAGGCUGGGAGGCGUACUCCGGCAUGGUGUGAUCGCAUCCUUUCUUACGGCAAGGGAAUGAAGUUACUGAGUUACAAGAGGACUGAGGUUAAACUUUCUGAUCAUCGACCUGUGUCUGCCACAUAUAUGGCUGAGGUUGAGGUGCUUUCUCCUAGGAGGCUACAGAGGGCACUCACAUUUACAGAUGCUGAAAUUGAAAAUACGGAAAUUAUAGCAGACUCAGAUUAUUGAUUUUUCGAAGUGCUGGUUGAGAAUAGAUCAGGACUCCGGAUGCUUUGAAACCACCGUGGCUUUAUGCAGUUUUGGCGGACUGCAAGGUAAUAGGGCCACAACUGCAUGACUAGUGUCAUAUGUGAUGUUUUAUAUCAGGAAAAUUUUCUCCAUGUAAAGCGCCUUGUUUUGGAGAUCCAGAGAACCACAUGGCCUUUUCUAUCUUAUGAAGGAUAUGUGUUACCGGGAGCAUCAAUGGUGGCCUACUUUCGCAGACUUUGGAAAAUACGGAGCUAGAGCUCCAAGAACUCUCGAUCUCAUUCACCACAAAUUAGAUUCAUUUAUUUGAUUUCUCCAUUCUAUUACAAAUAUUGUACAUUGCAGUCAUUGUGUGAAUUUGUUAGUUAUAUCCAGUGAGAGUUUCACAAUUAGGCUACAGUCUUACAGUUUACAAAAGCAAAGAUGAUUGGUGAUGUGGGGUUUGGCUUGGGUGUGUCAAUGUGUUACAGCAUGUUUGCCUUUUUAGGUUUCGGAUUAAAUACUAGUAGAUGCAUGGGUCUUUGUGAGGACAUGCUACAAUGUUGGAAGUUUUGUCAUCCGUCGAGAACCUUCUCUCUGUAUUUCUUUGUAACAUUGUUUGGUGGAUGUAAUUUCUGUUGCAUAAAUAAAAUUUUCUGCACCA